rnacentral:rRNA from 1 species
UACGUAGGGUGCAAGCGUUGUCCGGAAUUAUUGGGCGUAAAGAGCUCGUAGGCGGCUUGUUGCGUCGGCUGUGAAAACCCGGGGCUCAACCCCGGGCCUGCAGUCGAUACGGGCAGGCUGGAGUUCGGUAGGGGAGACUGGAAUUCCUGGUGUAGCGGUGAAAUGACGCAGAUAUCAGGAGGAACACCGGUGGCGAAGGCGGGUCUCUGGGCCGAUACUGACGCUGAGGAGCGAAAGCGUGGGGAGCGAACAGG